GGGGAUUUUGCGCAUGGGGGAACCCUGNCGCAGCAACGCCGCGUGGAGGAUGAAGUCCUUCGGGACGUAAACUCCUUUCGAUCGGGACGAUUAUGACGGUACCGGAAGAAGAAGCCCCGGCUAACUUCGUGCCAGCAGCCGCGGUGAUACGAGGGGGGCGAGCGUUGUUCGGAAUUAUUGGGCGUAAAGGGUGCGUAGGCGGUUUGGUAAGUCUUUUGUGAAAUCUCUGGGCUCAACUCAGAGCUUGCAGGAGAAACUGCCGGGCUUGAGUGUGGGAGAGGUGAGUGGAAUCCCUGGUGUAGCGGUGAAAUGCGUAGAUAUCAGGAGGAACACCUGUGGCGAAAGCGGCUCACUGGACCAUAACUGACGCUGAUGCACGAAAGCUAGGGGAGCAAACAGGAUUAGAUACCCUGGUAGUCCUAGCCCUAAACGAUGACUGCUUGGUGUGACGGGUACCUAAUCCCGCCGUGCCGUAGCUAACGCGUUAAGCAGUCCGCCUGGGGAGUACGGUCGCAAGGCUGAAACUCAAAAAAAUUGACGGA
rnacentral:rRNA from 1 species